CGUAUUGAUUUCGGAGCGCAGUACAUCUCGCGCUUUGCACUCACAACGACGACGUCCAAAAGUACAUUUUUACACUCUUGACCUCGGAUCAGGUAGGGAUACCCGCUGAC
rnacentral:rRNA from 1 species